AGAUGCCGGCGUCCCGUCCCGUAGGUGGGUUGGCGCACAGGUUUGGGAAAUGCAAGCCCAGCUCUGCGCCUUACCUGGCGCCUCCAGCCCUCCAGCAGCUUCGGCCCCGCUCUGAAAAGAUUGGCCAGCAGUUGCAUCCCUCGCACACACGGAGCCCUGAGCCCUGGGGUAACGCGGUUCCAAUUACUGCCAGAUCGGCAAGGCAUUUUGCAGAGGAAGAAACUGCAGUUUAAAGAGUGGCUGGCCUGUAGUCAUCAAGCCUGCAGACAGGAGAGGCAACACCCAGACUCAGAGAACAGGGUGUCUCUUUAUUAUACUACAGUGCAUCCUGCAGUUUUCAGAAAUGCUUUCGUUGUAUGAACUACAUGGUUCAGUUCCCAAAGGAAACCCAGGCCAAGCCUCACACCUCCAGGCAGCUGAUGAAGAGCAGGUACAGUUCCGUUUUGUCUUCCGUUAGGAACGCCUUCUUCUCUAACUGUGUCAGGUAGUUCUGGAUGUAAUCCUUCACUUCAUGGAAGCUGGGGAGAGACACGCAAAUGAAUAUACCAUAACUCCUGGCUAUGUCUCCCAGGGCUAGGGCUAACCCAGGCCGGGUCUGUGUCCGGCACGCUGCAGCCCCAGCACCUGGAUCUGACACACAUGACUGGUCAUUUGGAAAAUCUUUGCACUCUUGAUACAUUUUUAUUAUAGAAUGUACUGGGGAAAAAAUACGCGAUAUAGAGUCCUUAGUAUCACCAUGGAUCUCCUCAAAAAGAAUUUUAAGUCUUACAGAGUGGGAUUAAUUUGUGGUCUAAAAUUUAAAUUCUCACUUAAAUAUUUAAACUGUAUCAUUGGUAGCAACUACCAUAGUAUUUAGCGGUGACAGGAUCACUGUCUUUUGGAAAGUGCCAGCAGGCCCAGUUCUGUGUUCCUGCAGCUGAGUUGACCUAACUUAGGACAACUCCAUGUGACUGUGAGAUGGCCACUGGGUUCUGCCAUGCAGCUGGUGGGUCCCCAUAGAAUAGAGGCAAUUCACCCCUUUAAGGGUUGUAGCUUAUGAGAGCUGGCAUUAAGGGGUGUGGCUUAGGAAGGCAAAUAAGUGAAAUUUGUAUUGUGUGCACAGAGUUUGGGGUUCAGAGCCACAUGGACACUUGGGAGAGCUGCAGGUCUGGUUCAGCACAUCUGCCCCAGACGACAGGGUGCAUUCUACUCCUCUGACCUGACAGACCCUGCCCACAUUCAAAAAACACAGGCCACCAGAGCUCAGAAGGUGCUAGAUCGAAAGUGCUAGACCGAAAGUCACUUCCCGAUGUGUCACAAGACUGGGUGCCAGGGGCUGGGGCCAGAAUCACACCAUGGUUUCUUGUUAACUAUCAGUUGCUACUGGGCCACACUCACAGGCCCAUGGUGGAAACUAUAAGCACACAAGCCUGACGUAAACUGGGUUUGCUUACAUAGAAAGCUUCUCCAGACCAUAGAUGAGCUCCCAGCUCAUGGGGGGAGGGGCAUCAUCAUUAAGUGGUAAUUAGGAGCAUUGAGUUUCUUGGGACAAAUUUGAUCUUUACUGUCAGGAUAUCUAAUUUCUUCUUGUUGUUUCUUUGAGCAAGACUAUAUAACAAACAAACAAACAACCCACAGCCCACCUUUCAUGGCGGUGCAUUUAAAUACCCCUGAAAAGCCCCCAGAAUUCCAUGUCAGACAACUGCAGAAACUAUCUGCAGCUGGCAAAAUCACACCCCUGCUAGACCAUGAGACAAAUCAUGGUCAGCUGCUGCUAGUCUGAAGCAGCCUCACAUCCCACACCUGGGAUUAAAGUGAAAACGUAUUUCCAUACUAUUUCUGUAUUUUUCAAGAAACCAAAAUUCUCACUACAGACCUGUACUUGAGAAGCAGUUUUAACAGCACAGAGCGGAUGACAGGAGUCUGGUCAACAACAUCAUCAAAUGGAGACAGAGACUUUGUGUGUUCACGAUGUUCUGCAGCCAGAGAGAAGGGGACUAUAGUUCGUAUCAUGGUACAAAGCUGAGCCCAAACUCUGGUUUUGACCUUUACGGGAAGAAGGGAACUCACUCUGGGAAGCAUCUCUCAGCAGCUCCUUUUGUACGAAGAGCAAGGACAGCAGUGUAUCUAUGACACUCUUCUCAGGGGGCGUGUUAUCCUUGAAGCACAUGGUAGAAACAAGGUCCACAAAAAAGCUGUUGCACAUGUGCCGGAACUGGGCGUGCUUCUCAAUGGCUUUCCUUAGGAGGGAGGGAGAACUCGUGACAGAAGAAUUGUAGAAUGUGUUGCCCAAUACUUCCAGGCAGAGGGAAGGGAUAUUCGGAUAGUAUUUUGGUUUAAAUAUCAAGGUUUAUUUGACCUUGAACUCCACAAUUCUGUAUCAGCCUCCUAAUUGUUAGGUUUAAAACUAGGCUCUGUUUUUUUUUUGUUGUUGUUUUGUUUUGCAUUUUGAUUUUGAAUCAACAAAUGAGAUGGUCUUAACAAUGAUCAGAACUGGUCUUCAGACUACAACAGUGUUUCUGGGACACUACCAUUGUCUGGACCUAGAGCAUGGGCAAUAAAAUGGGAUGGAGUCAGGGCUGCUGAGGCCCUGCUCCUCUGUCUCCUGAAGACUGGGCCAGAUCUGCCUACAUCCUCAGGCAGAGACCAAGGCUGUGUUCAUAAAGAAGAGGAUCUGGGAGAUGGGCCCAUCAGUACUGCCCUUGCACCUGUAUCUCAGCAUGAGGGUGUGUAGGGACGAUGAGGCAGAUUCCUAGGCCUCACUGGCGGCUAAGCCAGGCAGAGACGAGCUGCAGGGUUACUGAGGUCCCUGUCCCAAAAUAGAGUGAUGAAGGAAGAUACCUGAUGUUGACGGUGGACACGUGAAUACACCCACAUGAACACAUACAUAUACAUACAAAGAAGGCAAUGAUGGGCAGGGGUUGGAUGAGUGGCAGGGUACAAGCUGAAUCUCAGUUCCACCUCCAGCACCACUCCAGCCCUCCCCACUAAAAGGCGCCAAGCUACACCGACAUGUUCGGUUUUCUUCCAAGGACUUUGUGACUUUCUAGCUUAUCUCCUAAGUUUGCUGUCUCCAUGUUGGUGCUUGUCUUAUUUGGGAAAGGGCAGAGGUCCAGGAAGCCUUGCUUCUGGCAUUACUUAUGGAAGUUCUCUGAAACCAGCUCUUACGCCCAAAGAACGCUGACCCAAGAGUUGACAUCUCCAAAGACAACAUUGGAAAAAAAAGCAAGGCAGCUUCCUCAAGAGAGAGGGUGACUUACCUGUGGUCCUGGGAAACAGUUGGUGAGAACUUGUCUGGCAAGUCAGUUAAGCAGUAGGGGCACAUCAUUUGCCCAGGGAUGAGCCAGGUCUGAAUGCAACGUAGACAAUACACAUGAUCACAGGGCAGACAGACGGGGUCCUGCGCAUCUCCAUGGCAGAUGAAACAUGGCUGAAUACCAAACCUAAAACCCAAGAAAGUGAUCGAUUUCAGAGCAGAAAUGCUGGCUACAAGAAACAGUUCCUUCCACCGCAAAUCCAAGUAAUCUCAAAGUCUUAAAUUACACAUCUCACCUGCUGAACUUCUUGCUGGCCUUGUCCUUGCAGUCACAGAGUGUGGUCAUUACAGCCACAAAUGGCCUGCAGGUCUUGAGGUUAGAGUCCUCUUCAAGACACUGAGGGAGGAGGGCAGUGGUGAGUAGUAGGUAAGGGUCUAUAGGGAAAGUGACCCAGCACCCAUUGUCUCAGUGGCUGCUGACGAACAGUCAUGGCCACAAAAGAGCAGCACAAGGCUCUUGGGAUGCUUGCCAUAGGAAGUUCCCACAUUUUCAGGAGACAGAGCAGUUAAGACCACUGGCUGCUGUUCCAGAGGAUCCUGGUUUGAUACCCAUUACCCACAUGGCAGCUCACAGGGGAUCUGAUACUCUGGCCUCCCUGGAUGCCAGACACACAUGCAGGCAAAACACUAAAGCAAGUUCCAGGACAGCCUGACUUAAAUAGUGAGCUCCAGGAUAGCCAGAGCUACAUAGUGAGACCUUACCUCAACAACAACAACAACAACAAACUAACAACAAUAAAAACCAAGAAGAAAGUUCCUACAUUUACAUGUCCUUUAAAAACAAACUUUUAGCCGGGCAGUGGUGGGGCACGCCUUUAAUCCCAGUACUUGGGAGGCAGAGGUAGGCGGAUUUCUGAGUUUGAGGCCAGCCUGGUCUACAAAGUGAGUGCCAGGACAGCCAGGGCUACACAGAGAAACCCUGUCUCGAAAAAACCAAAAACCAAAACAAACAAACUUUUAAGUAGCUGCAGUGAAUAAAUAAAUUAAUGCAAUAAAAUAAUUGAAAAAAUAAAACAUUUUAAAUU
rnacentral:lncRNA from 1 species